UUAGCCACCUAGUCACUUCCUGCCUAACGUUGAAGGCCAGCUCUGCUUUAACCUCUCCUGGGAAGCCUGCAUUGGUGGUCUCAGGAAGAGUCCAUGGCUUCUUCCCUCUCCUAUAUGACUUCUCAAGCUUUUGUUACUGUUUGUCAGCUUGUGUGCUUACACUGGAAGUUUCCUGUAUCUGACACAUGGUUGUGUCCCCAGCAGGGACAGCACAGGUACUUGGAGCAGCCAUGUAGGAUUUGUUGGUUGGUUGGUUGAAUGAAUGAAUGAAUGAAUGAAGAAUGGAUCCAUCCUUGACCCCUCACUUCUUGGCCAGCGUCAGAGCUGUUAUUUUCCAGGGCAAGCCCAUUUUAUAGGAAAAGAGGAAGCAGAAAGGACUGCUCUGGAAUGGAGAAAGCAAAUCAAUAAAAAUGUAAAUCUGGUUGAGAAAAGCUGUCCCAGGUUGGCUGUGGGGAAAGAUAAGACUGGAACGGUGAGCCCUGGUUGACAGUAAAAGAAAUUAGGGGGCAAGCAGAGCUGCAGCCAGGCCAGGGCAAAGGGAGCGUCUCCCUUCAGUGGUACCUCCCCACUCUGUCUUUGCCACUUUCCCUGCCCCCAUGCUCUUAAUACUCCAUCAAUUCUCUCAGGGAUCCUGGACGGAGAAGGAAACUUAGACAUGUUGAUCAGCAAAUGCACUCAUUAUUUGGUCUUCACAACUUUUCGGAAACAGGAGAUAGGAAUGAUCAACCUCACUUUCCAGGUGAAGAAAUGGAGGCAUAGAGAAGUUAAAUCACUUGUUCAGGGUCACACCAUGAGUAAGUGGCAGAAUCAAGAUUUGAGUUUAAAUCUGAACCUAAAACGCUAUUCUUUUCCCUCCAUUGCACUGAGGUCUUGAUCCAGGCUUCAAAGGGUCCCCAGCCUCUGAAGUCAGAUGCACAAUUGUGUUUUUGUGCAUUUUUUUAUGGAGAGUUUAUAUCUUGUAUUGUCCAAGGUGAUGGUCACUCAUUCCCUUGCCUAUACCAUGUUCCCUCCCUGGAGGAGGCCUUUGAGCUGAGUAUAGAAGAAUGGGAUACAGUGGAGUGGGAUGAAGAAAGCCAGCUGGGUAGAGAACACAUGUAGGGGCAGAUUCGGAAGAAUGAAUUCAAUAGGUCUAAAGAAUGCUGGGGUGCUGGGGGUUCUUACUCCUCAUUUAUUUGUGCUGCAAUCAUGGCUCCUGGCUCCCAACUUCCAAGGAGCAUCUGACCGCCCUGCAACUUCCCAGCAUGGGUCCACAGGCCAAAAGAACUCCAGGACAGGCAUCAGGAUAUCCGCUCUGCUUCAGUCCUGUCCUCUGUUGGACUUUAUCACCUGUAGAAUCUUGCAAGAUUUCACACCUUCUCCUGAGCACACAGGUCAAUUGCUGGUGGUUCCUCGUGGACCAGCGGCUAAUAAUAGGGAAGAGGGCUGCACCCUGGGCCCCUCCAUCUCUGGGAACCCCUUCAGCCCUUACCUGCUCCACUCCUGGCUCUCAGCCCACGUCUCUCUUGUGAUGACUCCUGAAGUCUCCUGGCCCUGACCAGCCUGAGAGGUUUUAAGCACAAGGACCUCAUCUUCUUCAAAUCUCUGCUGAAUGUAGAUUCGGCAUCAAGACCCAGCUUGAUGGGGCCUCUGCAUGUGUUCACAUUGUCAUGUUCUUGGGAAAUUUGCAAAGUCAUCACUGCAUUCAGAUAAAUCAUUGCCAGCCACCGCUCUGUACAGAAUGGCUUCUAGGAAUCUUCCUACACACUGUCCAGCUCACUCAGAGUUGUGACAUCAAGAUGUCAUAUCCAGAGGGCAUCUCAUGACAGGAAUGCAUUCCAUGCCGCCUGGCCCUGGAAGCAUAUGGGCAAUGGAGGAGAAACAGGUUGGAAAUGUACAGAAACAGAAGCUAAUCUGUGGGAAAUCCUUCCACUUGUCGGGGGGGAAAUGUAUUUUAGAGGUGUGCACGGCAGUUAGUAAAAAUUACUGUGCUGUUUUUCUGAAUUGUGUGACAUAGUUGUUUUGACUUCUUUUCUAAGUAAAUACUCAUUUCCUUACCUCA